rnacentral:misc_RNA from 1 species
AACGCACAUUGCGCCCUUUGGUAUUCCGAAGGGCAUGCCUGUUCGAGCGUCAUUAUCACCCCUCAAGCCCUCGGCUUGGUGUUGGACGGCUUGGUGGAGACCCCCUUUGCGGGCUUCUACCCCUCCCAAAGACAAUGACGGCGGCCUCGUUGGACCCCCGGUACACUGAGUUCUUCACGGGACACGUAUCGGACACAUGGGUUCACGGGACACGGUCUGCCUCCCCUCAGGGAGAAUCUUUUUUUUAUCAAGGUUGACCUCGGAUCAGGUAGGGAUACCCGCUGAACUUAA